rnacentral:rRNA from 1 species
UCAAAUGAGGAAAGGCUUAUGGUGGAUACCUAGGAACCUUGAGACGAGGAAGGGCAUAGUAAUCGACGAAAUACUUUGGGGAGUUGAAAAUAAGCAUAGAUCCGGAGAUUCCCAAAUAGGGCAACCUUUCAAACUGCUGCUGAAUCCAUGGGCAGGCAAGUGACAACCUAGCAAACUAAAGCAUCUUAGUAUCUAGAUAAAAGAAAGAAAAAGUAAUUCCUGUAGUAAGCGAGUGAAAUGGGAGCAGCCUAAACCAUGAAAACGGGGUUGUGGGAGAGCAAUACAAGCGUUGUGCUGCUAGGCGAAGCAACUUGAAUGCUGGACCCUAGAUGGAAAAAGUCAAAAAGAUGAAAGAAUAACUAGCUUAUGCUCUAAGCCAAGUACCAUGGGGCACGUGGAAGCUCGUGUGAAUCAGCAAGGACCACCUUGCAAGGAUAAAUACUCCUAUGUGACCGAUAGAAAAGUAGUACCAUGAGGGAAGGGCAAAAAGAACCCCCAUCGGGGAGUGAAAUAGAACAUAAAACCAUAAGCUCCCAAGCAGUGGGAGGAGCAAGGGUUCUGAUCGCGUGCCUGUUGAAGAAUGAUCCGGUGACUCAUAGGAAGUGGCUUGGUUAAAAGAACCCACCGGAGCUGUAGCGAAAGAGAGUCUUCAUAGGGCAAUUGUCACUGCUUAUGGACCCAACCUGGGUGAUCUAUCCAUGACCAGGAUGAAGCUUGGGUGAAACUAAGUGGAGGUCCAAACUGACUGAUGUUGAAGAAUCAGCAAAUAAGUUGUGGUUAGGGGUGAAAUGCCACUCGAACUCAAAGCUAGAUGGUUCUCCCCGAAAUGAGUUCAGGCGCAGCAGUUGAUUGGACAUCUAGGGGUAAAACACUAUUUUGGUGUGGGCCGCGAGGCAAACUCUGAAUACUAGGUAUGGCCUUAAAAAAGAGGGGUCAAAGUAGGCUAGUAAAAUGAUGGGGGGUAAGCUUCAUCAUCGAGAGGAAAACAACCUGGAUCACGACCUAAGGCCCCAAAAUAACCUCUCAGUGAUAAAGUAGGAAAGGGUGCAGAGACAGCCAAAAGGUUUUCCUAGAAGCAGCCACCCUUGAAAGAGAGCGUAAUAGCUCAUUGAUCGAGUGCUCUUUUAUUGAAGAUGAAUGAGGAUAAGCGAUCUUCCAAAGCCGUGGGGUAUAAAAAUACAUCGGUAGGGGAGCAUUCCUCUUUAGAGGGAAGCCUCCGUGCGAGCGGUGGUGGACGAAGCAGAAGCGCGAAUGUUGGCUUGAGUAACGCAAACAUUGGUGAGAAUCCAAAGCCUCAAAAACCGAAGGGUUCCUCUGCAAGGUUCAUCCGUGGAGGGUGAUUUAGGGCCUAAGAUUAGGAUAAAAGGCAUAGUCGAUAGACAACAGGUGAAUAUACCUGUACUACUCCUUGUUGGUCCCGAGGGACGGAGAAGGCUAGGUUAGCCGAAAGAUGGUUAUUGAUUCAAGAAUGUAAGGUGUCCCUGCCCUUUUUUCUGGGUAAGAAGGGGUAGAGAAAAUGCCUCGAUCCAAUGUUCGAAUGCCAGGUGCUACGACGCUGAAGUAACCCAUGCCAUACUCCUAGGAAAACCUCGAACGACUUUGAGCAAGAGGGAACCUAUACCAGAAACUGACACAGGUAGGUAGGUAGAGAAUACCUAGGGGCGCGAGACAACUCUCUCUAAGGAACUCAGAAAAAUAGCCCCAUAACUUUAGGAGAAGUGGUGCCUCUUCACAUCACAAAGGGGCUCACAGUGACCAGGCCCAGGCGAUUAUUUACCAAAAACACAGGUCUCUGCAAAGUCAUAAGACAAUGUAUGGGGGCUGACACCUGCCCAGUGCCAGAAGGUCAAGAAAGUUGGUGGCCUGAUGAUAGGGUAACGACGGUGAACGGUGGCCAUAACUAUAAUAGUCCUAAGGUAGCAAACUUCUUUGUCGGGUAAGUUCCGACCAGCACAAAAUGCGUAACGAUCUGGGCAUUGUCUCAAAGAGAGGCUCAUUUCAUUCAAAACCCCAAUUGUGAUAUCCCUUCUCUCCGACUUCAUAUCUUGAAACAUACCUUCUUAUAGAGAUAAAUGCGCUAUCACAUCUUCUUAACCUGAAAUGGCUGGGGAGAGAAAAGUUUUCUUUUUUUAGGGUACUCCCAGGAAUAGAUCCGGUGGAGAUAGGGUGGGGCCUGUAGCUCAGAGGAUUAGAGAAUGUGGAUACGAACCUUGGUGUUGUGGGUUUGAAUCCUUUUUCUCCCACAAACGGCCCUAAAGGGAAAUACCUUUCCCUCUAGGGGUAGGAAAAUCAUGAUCGGGAUAGCGAACCAAAAGCUAUGGAACUUGGGUGUGGGUAUUUUGUCGAAAUGGAAUGGCUUUUAUUCUUCUUUUUUUAUUUAAUGUGAAUGGGGGAAUCAUUACACAUCGUACUCCUGAUCAGCAUAUUUUUUUGUUUUACGCUCCGUAACUCUUCCUCAACCAGGCUUGGGCAGAAUAGUAGAGCAAGUAUUAGUAUCAUAACAAAAAUGCCUUCCUCGUCAUUAAUAUCUGUGCUC